rnacentral:rRNA from 1 species
AAGUGACGCGGUAGAGGAGCGUUCUGUAAGCCUGUGAAGGUGAGUUGAGAAGCUUGCUGGAGGUAUCAGAAGUGCGAAUGCUGACAUGAGUAACGACAAUGGGUGUGAAAAACACCCACGCCGAAAGACCAAGGGUUCCUGCGCAACGUUAAUCGACGCAGGGUUAGUCGGUUCCUAAGGCGAGGCUGAAAAGCGUAGUCGAUGGGAAACAGGUUAAUAUUCCUGUACUUCUGGUUACUGCGAUGGAGGGACGGAGAAGGCUAGGCCAGCUUGGCGUUGGUUGUCCAAGUUUAAGGUGGUAGGCUGAAAUCUUAGGUAAAUCCGGGGUUUCAAGGCCGAGAGCUGAUGACGAGUCGUCUUUUAGAUGACGAAGUGGUUGAUGCCAUGCUUCCAAGAAAAGCUUCUAAGCUUCAGGUAACCAGGAACCGUACCCCAAACCGACACAGGUGGUCGGGUAGAGAAUACCAAGGCGCUUGAGAGAACUCGGGUGAAGGAACUAGGCAAAAUGGCACCGUAACUUCGGGAGAAGGUGCGCCGGCUAGGGUGAAGGAUUUACUCCGUAAGC